UUAGGAAUAUUGGACAAUGGGGGCAACCCUGAUCCAGCCAUGCCGCGUGAGUGAAGAAGGCCUUCGGGUUGUAAAGCUCUUUCAGGUGUGAGGAUAAUGACCGUAACACCAGAAGAAGCCCCGGCUAAAUUCGUGCCAGCAGCCGCGGUAAUACGAAUGGGGCGAGCGUUGUUCGGAAUCACUGGGCGUAAAGCGUGCGUAGGCGGAAUAGGAAGUCAGAAGUGAAAGCCCAGGGCUUAACCCUGGAAUUGCUUUUGAAACUCCUAUUCUAGAGUCCCGGAGAGGUUAAGGGAAUUCCGAGUGUAGAGGUGAAAUUCGCAGAUAUUCGGAGGAACACCAGUGGCGUAGGCGCUUAACUGGACGGGUACUGACGCUGAGGCACGAAAGCGUGGGGAGCAAACA
rnacentral:rRNA from 1 species